AGGAGAAAAGGGUAGCAAUAUCUGAGUAAACUGGCGAACGGGUGAGUAACACGUAGGUAAUCUACCUGUAAACGGGGAUAACCCCGCGAAAGCGGGACUAAUACCCGAUGCAGUCUUGUUGUGGCAUCAUGAUAAGAUGAAAGGUCCCAAAAGGACGUUACAAGAUGAACCUGCGUCCCAUUAGAUAGUUGGCGGGGUAAUGGCCCACCAAGUCGACGAUGGGUAGCUGGUCUGAGAGGACGGCCAGCCACACUGGAACUGAGACACGGUCCAGACUUCUACGGAAGGCAGCAGUGAGGAAUAUUGCUCAAUGGGCGCAAGCCUGAAGCAGCGACGCCGCGUGAGGGAUGAAAUCCGUUAGGAUGUAAACCUCUUUUGCAGGGGAUGAAUGUCUCCCUUUGGGAGAAGUGACUGUACCCUGCGAAUAAGCACCGGCCAACUACGUGCCAGCAGCCGCGGUAAUACGUAGGGUGCAAGCGUUGUCCGGAAUCACUGGGUGUAAAGGGUCUGUAGGCGGGCAAGUAAGUCGGUGGUGAAAUCCUAUGGCUCAACCAUAGAACUGCCUCCGAAACUACUUGUCUUGAGUUCGAGAGAGGAUGAUGGAAUUCAUGGUGUAGCGGUGAAAUGCGUAGAUAUCAUGAAGAACACCAGUAGCGGAGGCGGUCAUCUGGCUCGAUACUGACGCUGAGGGACGAAAGCGUGGGUAGCAAACAGGAUUAGAUACCCUGGUAGUC
rnacentral:rRNA from 1 species